UACGGAGGGUGCGAACGUUAAUCGGAAUUACUGGGCGUAAAGCGCGCGUAGGCGGUUCGAUAAGUGGGAUGUGAAAGCCCCGGGCUCAACCUGGGAAUUGCCUUCCAAACUGUCGGGCUAGAGUGUGGUAGAGGGAGGUAGAAUUUCCUGUGUAGCGGUGAAAUGCGUAGAUAUAGGAAGGAAUACCAGUGGCGAAGGCGGCCUCCUGGACCAACACUGACGCUGAGGUGCGAAAGCGUGGGGAGCAAACAGGAUUAGAAACCCCUGUAGUCC
rnacentral:rRNA from 1 species